AAGAGUUAUCCCAGCCCGUCUGAUCCUUCAUUUUUUGUAAAAACAGAGGAUAUCUUACAUGGAUCACCUUUCGCAAUAUUCCGUGGUUUUUCUCUGUUAAACUUGUGCAUAAUAGAAGAGAAAACAGAAGAGUUAUCCCCAUUGUUGAACGGGAGCGGCACCUUCUCAGGAGGAGUUUCAAUUCCCAAUAUUUCUUCCUUAAGGUCUAUGGUGGAAGAAUUCGGAACUGCAUUUCUACUUGGAAAUUUCCGUCCAUUGAUUGUGUUAUCGCCGGAGCUUUGGUCCUCCGGCGAAGGUUUCUUGAGGUAAGAAAGUAAAGUUUUCUGCCGCUGCAUUUUUAGUGGGGAAGAGAGAAUUGGCACCAAAGGACUUCGCAAG
rnacentral:misc_RNA from 1 species